rnacentral:rRNA from 1 species
UACGGGGGGAGCAAGCGUUAAUCGGAAUUACUGGGCGUAAAGCGUGCGCAGGCGGUUUGUAAGCCAGAUGUGAAAUCCCCGGGCUUAACCUGGGAACUGCAUUUGGGACUGCAAGGCUUGAGUACGGCAGAGGGGGGUAGAAUUCCUGGUGUAGCAGUGAAAUGCGUAGAUAUCAGGAGGAAUACCGAUGGCGAAGGCAGCCCCCUGGGUCGAUACUGACGCUCAUGCACGAAAGCGUGGGGAGCAAACGGG